ACGGCGUCUAAUACUGGAUACGAGCAGCGGAGGCAUCUCCAGCUGCUGGAAAGAUUUUUUGGUCUGGGAUGGGCUCGCGGCCUAUCAGCUUGUUGGUGAGGUAAUGGCUCACCAAGGCGUCGACGGGUAGCCGGCCUGAGAGGGUGACCGGCCACACUGGGACUGAGACACGGCCCAGACUCCUACGGGAGGCAGCAGUGGGGAAUAUUGCACAAUGGGCGGAAGCCUGAUGCAGCAACGCCGCGUGAGGGACGACGGCCUUCGGGUUGUAAACCUCUUUUAGCAAGGAAGAAGCGAAAGUGACGGUACUUGCAGAAAAAGCGCCGGCUAACUACGUGCCAGCAGCCGCGGUAAUACGUAGGGCGCAAGCGUUAUCCGGAAUUAUUGGGCGUAAAGAGCUCGUAGGCGGUUUGUCGCGUCUGCUGUGAAAACCCGAGGCUCAACCUCGGGCCUGCAGUGGGUACGGGCAGACUAGAGUGCGGUAGGGGAGAUUGGAAUUCCUGGUGUAGCGGUGGAAUGCGCAGAUAUCAGGAGGAACACCGAUGGCGAAGGCAGAUCUCUGGGCCGUAACUGACGCUGAGGAGCGAAAGGGUGGGGAGC
rnacentral:rRNA from 1 species